GGGCUCAUUGUGGCGGCACAUAUACUAAAACUGGAAUGCUGCAGAGACAAUUCGUAUGGCCCUGUGCAAGAAUAACAUGCAAAAUAGUAAAGCAUUUCAUUUUCUU